rnacentral:lncRNA from 1 species
UCAAGAUGCUGACGUGUCGGGUGAGAAAGGCGCUGACGUAUUCUGCGGAAAAAUGACCAAUUGUUGGUUACAGCUAUUCGACAUGAAAGAGUAGGAAGAAGCCACGUAAGAAGGUGGAGUUACCAAUAUAUUGUUACUGUAACAGAGAAUAGAAGAUACAUGCAUUGCUAUUCCAUCUGACUCAAUAGUAUAGCUCACGAAAUAAAGGCAAAUAAUAAGGACAUACAACAAGGUCCCCAAAUGGCAACCCCAAACGUACAUAAACUAACCUCUAUCAACUAAGCACUAAACCCUACUCGGAAAUGUAAACCCUAAUCCAAUGUAACCCUAAACUUCUAAUGAGUGAUCAUAAACUAAUUAGUAAACACUACACGGAAUAUAAACCCUUAUCCAGUGUCAACCGAAUCUUACAUAAACUAAACACAAGUUUUGAGCUGACAGCAAAUAUUCAUUUUAUUCCAUAUGUGUCAUAUAAAAUAGACAAGGUGAAAAUGUAAUUGCAAUAUAAAGACAUGUACAAAAUGUAUCUCAAGUGUUGAUAUGGCUAUGCGUUCAUGGAACUUGGCAUGCUUGACCCAAUGUCACCCCCAACCAUACACCUUCACCUUCACCUUGUAAUACUAAACCCUAAACUCUAGUCAUUAAACCCUAACCAAAUAUGAGUUUUAAACCUUAAACUUUAUUUACUAAACCUUAAACUCAAAUAUAAACCCUAAAGCCAAACAACAAAUGUAGAUGUGGUUAACAAAAUGUGUAUGAAGUUUACACUUAUGUGGAUCUGGUUAACGAAAUGAUAAAAAUGAAUAUUAAAUUCUUAGUUUUGAUCAAUAGCAUAAACUAAGAUUCAUUCAUAGCAAUGAUACAACAACAAAACAUAACUUAUGCUUAUGCAUUGUACAAUCAUAUAUAUAUAUAUUCUUUGUUUUGCAAAUAGAAUAGAAUACAACAAAUAGUAAAGAUUAUAUAUUCCAUUUCACAUGAAUGGUCUUUCUAUUUUACGUACACACGAUCUAUUCCACUUAUAUACACAUUGCAUCAUUACAUAUAAAUGAGAAUAUAUUCACCGGAUGGCUCAAAUCCAGUUUCGAAUAAUCUACUUGGCAACUUAAAUCUACCAUUUGUAACCUAAAAACAAAAGCGAAAGAUAAAGGUGUUAGGAUCCAUAUAACAAAUUAUAUAUAAAAUAAAUUGUAUAGUAUAACAAUAAUGUGGAAUGGAAACCAUGUAAGACGUAGCGAUAUGCAUAGCUCACUAUCUUAAACCACACAUGAGAAUAUAUACAAAACCCUAUCAACUAAUCACGAAACCCUACACGGAAAUAUGACACUUAAUCUAAGGUCAAUCUCAUUCUUACAAUCACGAACUCAAUAUUCCAGAAACUAACC